AUGAAGAGAUGGAGCCAAAGUGAAAACAGUGAAGCCUGGUGUGCUGAAGUACAUGGGGUCACAAUUAUUUGGACACCACUGAGUUUCAGAAAACGAAGAUCAUGGCAUCUGGUCCCAUCACUUUAUGGGAAAUAUAUGGGGAAACAGUGGAAACAGUGGCUGACUUUAUUUUUUGGGGGCUCCAAAAUCACCGCAGAUGGUGACUACAGCCAUGAAAUUAAAAGACACUUACUCCUUGGAAGAAAAGUUAUGACCAACCUAGAUAGCAUAUUGAAAAGCAGAGACAUUACUUUGCCAAUAAAGGUCCAUCUAGUAAAAGCUAUGGUUUUUCCUGUGGUCAUGUAUGGAUGUGAAAGUUGGACUGUGAAGAAAGCUGAGCACCGAAGAAUUGAUGCUUUUGAACUGUGGUGUUGGAGAAGACUCUUGAGAGUCCCUUGGACUGCAAGGAGAUCCAACCAGUCCAUUCUGAAGGAGAUCAGCCCUGGGAUUUCUUUGGAAGGAAUGAUGCUAAAGCUGAAAGUCCAGUACUUUGGCCACCUCAUGCGAAGAGUUGACUCAUUGGAAAAGACUGAUGCUGGGAGGGAUUGGCGGCAGAAGGAGAAGGGGACGACCCCUUCUGAGAUGGCUGGAUGACUCGAUGGACGUGAGUCUGAGUGAACUCCGGGAGAUGGUGAUGGACAGGGAGGCCUGGUGUGCUAUGAUUCAUGGGUCGCAAAGAGUCGGACACGACUGAGUGACUGAACUGAACUGAACUGAAAAUAUGCAAUCUAAGAAAACAUUUUGUUAAUAUUAUUAUAUAAAAUCAAUUAUUUCUCUUCAAAAAAGAAUAUCAUUUUCAAAGUUAAUAGGCAGUUGACAAAUUGGGAAAGAAAUCU
rnacentral:lncRNA from 1 species